rnacentral:rRNA from 1 species
UACGUAGGGACCAAGCGUUGUUCGGAUUUACUGGGCGUAAAGAGCUCGUAGGCGGCUUGUCGCGUCGACUGUGAAAAUCCCCUCGGCUCAACCGGGGAACUGCGUCUGAUACUGGAUGGCUUGAAUUCGGGAGAGGGAUGCGGAAUUCCAGGUGUAGCGGUGAAAAUGCGUAGAUAUCUGGAGGAACACCGGUGGCGAAGGCGGCAUCCUGGACCGGUAUUGACGCUGAGGCGCGAAAGCGUGGGGAGCAAACAGG